UCAGUGUUGAAGUUUUAAGGGACCCCUUUAAAUUGUCAUGUUAGAUUUGCUCAGACAUCAGACAUUCCACAUUUAUUAGGCUUUU